GAGAGACUGCUAUGUGUUAGGUGGUGGAGACACAGUCAGGAUGGGAAGGCUGUUGCCCAGCCUGAGCUAUGAAUGUUGAUUAUUUAUUUAUUUAUUUAUUUAUUUAUUUAUUUUAGAAAUAAGAACCAAAUGACAGCCUCCUGAUCCUCUCCAGAAAGGUGCCCAAGGUGAGAUCUGGAUAUCCAGGGAUUCAUCCAGGGACGUGAAGAUGAGCCCAGCAAAGGGUUACCGGCCACCCACCAUUGACGCCAGGCACUCUCCUAGAAAUCGGCUGCACAGCAAUGAGCACAUCUGCCAUGGUCUAUGCGUUCACAGAGAAAAGUCUGGAAGCUUUGUCCUGUGCCUCACACUAGCGACACUCCUAGAGCAGACCUCCAGCUCCCAUGUCACGCAUGACUAGGGUCUCAACAGUGCAUCACAAUUUCAUUUUACUCCCUGCAUCUCAAUUCUCCCUGAAUCCUCUUGCACUCAGACUCCUCUGAGCUCAGUUUGCUGUGUAUGUCCCCCUGUGACCCACUAGACCUGAGGCUCUGCCCCACUUCCCUGGGCCGCCCUGACCAGCAGCUGAUGGCAAACAUGCAGCAUGGACCAGACCCACCCAGCCUUGCACCCCAUAAGAAGUGCUUUUUGAUGUUAGCUGCAGCAGGACCCACACCCCAUCCACGUGGGGCUGGCUAAUGAAGAAAGGUUAUCAAAUAGCCAGGACCUACCCACACCCCCGGAGGGACUGAGGUGUUAAUAUCACUGACCAGUUGUAUUCAUUCGAUCAUUCAUUCAUCAGCAACAAAUAUUUGUUGAUGAUGACUAUGAGCACUGUUCUAGGUGCUUAUUCAUCUCUGAGUAAAAUAGACAAAGAUCUCUGCCUUGCAGAGUUUCAACCUAGCGAAAAGAGAAAGGAAACAAUAGACAUAAUAAAUACACACAAGCAUGAGAAAACAGUGAUAAGAACUAUUGAAAAAAAGAAAAGGUAAUGCAGGAUAAGGAGCAUAGGGGGCGCUAUGAAUGGGGUGGUCAGGGCAGAGCUGAUGAAAAGGAAUUGAACACACAUCUUAAGAAGGUGAGGGGGAGUCCAAGAAGGUACCUGGAGAAGAAUGUUCCAGGCAGAGGGAGCAAGAGGAGCAGAGGCCCUCAGCCUGUUUGCAGAGGAGCGGCCGGGCCAGUGUGGUGGAGUGAGCAGGGGAGGGAAGGCAGGAGUAAGAAUAACCAAGAGUCAGAUUUCCAUGUAAGACCCAGUAAGCUAUUGCUCAUAUUCCAUUCUUUUACCCUGGGGCCAUCAGAGCCAUCAGGUUUUGACUUGUGAAGUGAUAUGACAUAAAAGCCGUUGCCCUAUAGGGCACAAGGGUCAAUAAUGAUGGUGGCCUGGGCCAGGCGGGUAGCAGUGGAGAUGCUGAGAAAUUGAUUAGCAUCUGACUUAUUUUGAAGGUACAGCCAGUAGAAUUCCCUAAUAGAUUGAUAGCUUAAAGAAAGGGAGGAGUCAAUGUUAACAUUCAGACUUUUGGCCUGUAAAAUUAAAUAAUUCAAACUUAAAGUGGUUGGAACUUAUUUUGAGCCUUGAGAGGAAUGUGGCUAUGUGGCCUGGGCCCCACAGCGUGAAGUUGCAACUUCUGCUUUUUCCCGUAAAAGAUUAGAGAAGGUCUUGUGGCACCAGAGAUAAGACCCCCUCAGAUCAUCACCCCUCCUCACAGAAUGUUAAAGCAUUCCUUGGAAUGUAGCAAGCUGUAACCAAUCAAAUUGCUAUGACAUUGUACUGACCUUGCCCGGGAGAUAUUGCAACCCUUUUCAAUCUCUCUGUCUCCGCCUGUGUAAGUGAAACCAUAACUUCACUCUGGAAUGCUGACCCAUUUUCUUGGAGUCUGUGUUUCGCAUAUGGCUAUCCUUAAGAUUGGCACUCUAAUAAACUAUAUAGUUCAUCCUAUUUUCUGAAUCUCAUUAUUUAAGAUUGACAGGCCAGAGCAACUGUAAGGAUGGAGUUACCAUAAAGAGAGAUGGGAAAGGCAGCCAGUGGCACAAGUUUGAAGUGGGAAGACGACAGUGAAGCUUUGUUCACGUAGAGUUUGCCACAUUUGUGGGCUACCAAACGAAAACGUGAGAAAGCAAUGGAGAUAUGAGUGUGGGGUCUAACAAAGGGGCGUGAGGCCUGGAGAAGGAGGUUGGGAGUCAUUGAUGUAGAGACUAUCAUUAAAGCCACUCUACACGUAAGAUCACUCAAUAAUAGGUGAGCGUAUUGGAGAAGAGGAGAGGUCUACAAGCUGCACCUCAGGGAGGAACUAGCAAAGGAGCCCUUGAGGGAGAGAGGAGUGAGGUAAGAGGAGCAGCCAGCGAGUGUGCUGUCCUGGAAAGAGAAAAAAGUGCAUCCUGGAGGAGGAGGCCAUCAGCUGGGUCAAGUGCUGCUGACAGGUGCUGGAAAUUGAGAACUGAGAAUUGACCACCGGAUUUAACUAUGUAGAGGUCACUGGUGACAUGAAGAGCCAUUUCAGCAGAACUGUGGAGGCGUGUCAGCCUGACUGGAGAGGGUUCCAGUGGGAGGAAAGAAGUUUUGUUGCAAAUACAAGCAAAGAUUUGGAGGGAAAUCUAGUAGAAGUGGGAUCAACACACAUUUGUUUUUAUUGUCUUUUUUUAUCUUUUUAUUUUAUUUCUUAAUUUUUUAUGGUUUUUUUGUCAAUCUUGCUCCUUCUCUACUUUUUUUUAAAAAGUGAGAAAAAUAACAGCAUGUUUGUUUGCCAAUUGAAAUAAUCUGGGGUAAUCGUUCAUGAGGGGGAGAGAGGGGAGCAUUUCUGGGGCCCUGAGCAGGGUUCCUCACUACAUGGGCGUGCACAGGAGUGGGGACAGCUCCUCCAUGGUGACAGGCUGGAGGCCGCGAGGGACAGAUGUGGUGGCCAGCAGAGUCUUUGGAAGUUUCCUUCCAGCUGCUUCAAUUUUCCCAUUGAAAUAGGAUGUGAGAGGAGUUUGGCUGUGUGAGGAGAGAGGAAAAUUUUCUUAGACAUGUAGAAAACAAGGAAAGUGACUCAAUCAGGAAAAUAUAGCAGGAUUGCCUGGAGAUGGUGAGGUCCAUUGAAGUUCAGAGGUUGUGAUUGUCGAAUGGGACCAGUUCUCACGAUGUGUCUUUUUUUCCCACCUUGAGAAAAGGGUAGGAGCUCUCCACUGCUUGGGGUGGGGGCACCUGAGGCUGGAUUUCCUGAGACUCCCUGGGCCUUCGGGUGUCAAAAUUUUCAUUGCUACUGCCAGGCAUUUUAGGGGCCAAAAAUAAAAACCAACUGAUGCUGUCACAUUGGACCUGCCUAGCUUCUGAAUCCCUGUUACUCAUUCUCUUGGGUUGAGGAUUUGAAAGCAACAGGCUUGGAAUUCAAGGAGCUACGUUUGCAUCCCUAGGCACAGCACUGUGAGAAAAGGGGCCCUCUAUUAGCAUUACUCCACAGAAAUGGCUUCUGAGGAAAGCCCGUGGAAGCAAUAUUUGGCAGGGCUCCUCGAUCCAUACUUCAGCCGGGAGUAACUGGCUCAUGCCCAGCCAGGAGCCCAAAUCCCCAACUCCUGCGGCUGUGCCUCUCUGUUAGUGCAGAGUGGCUGGUUUCCCUGCCUUUACUGUUGGCUUCCAGGCAGAUUUCCUCCCAGCUGUCUCCUCCCCUAUUUGUGUAAUUGACAUGAGUCAUUUGGGUGAUUUCUGCCUUUAAUCUGAGAGGGCCUCUGUGGUCAUCUGUGUUGCACAGCUCAAAAAUUCCAGGAACAGAACCUCUCCUGUUAGAUUUCUGUUAGUGCACAGUGGGUUGUGAUCAGGUGAGCGGGUGCCAGGGACCAUGACAAUGGCAUGAGGGGGACAGGCAGCAGUUGUGAGGGAACUCUGUCAUCUUCAUUGUACACCUGUUUAUCUGCAAGCUCAUUGCCUUCGUGUGAGGUUUCAAAUCACUAUCAUGACUGCAAAUUGACUUAAGAAUUUAAAACAUAAAACACAAAGAGUGAGAAAAGUGCUCACCAAAAUAUUGUUUUAAUGGUAAUUAUAAGAGUUUUCUGAUGUGUGACGUGUUUCGUUGCCUUUUCUAAUGUCUUUUUGGCUGGAAGUAAAGAAAGGCUCAGAAGCAGAGACUCCCAGCAUCUCCUUAAUUUUCUAUCUCCUCUGAAAUAUGACUCCUCUGUAUUUUUGUUUAGGAAGCAUUUCUAGGAACAAUUUUCAGCAAUUAGGAAGGAAGCAACCCGCAGAGCCCUGGCGUCAGGACUCAGGGAAAAUAUCCUGAGGUCUGGAUGAGAGCAGGCACCUGCAACUGUGUGAGCUGGGCAGCGCUCGCUGACACAGAAUCUAUCCAGACCCUGUUCCUGAACCUCACUUUACAAACACAAAGGAAUGAUAGAAAAGCCAUUCCCAGUUUUCCGAAUUACUGAAAACAAGGCAAUAUCGAAAUAUUAACUACAAACAGUGAAGAAAACAAUUGUAUGGAAGGCUUUCUGCCUGUAUCUACCUACAUUCAAAAGUUGUUUCUUUCACCUCUCCCUGCCACAUCCUCCCCGGAGUUCUAACGUUAUUAUUAUGGCUGGUCCAUGGUAACGAGCUAUUAAAAG
rnacentral:lncRNA from 1 species